UUAAUUAAAGCCAAAUUAGAGGCAUGUUAUUGUUAAUAACAGAAUUGGUUUAAAAACCUAAUUAAUUAUU
rnacentral:tRNA from 1 species